CCUACGGGAGGCAGCAGUGGGGAAUAUUGGGCAAUGGAGGAAACUCUGACCCAGCGACGCCGCGUGCGGGAUGAAGGCCUUCGGGUUGUAAACCGCUUUCAGCAGGGAAUAAGCGCAAGUGAAGGUACCUGCAGAAGAAGCACCGGCUAACUAUGUGCCAGCAGCCGCGGUAAUACAUAGGGUGCAAGCGUUGUCCGGAAUUAUUGGGCGUAAAGAGCUCGUAGGUGGUUUGUUACGUCGAUCGUGAAAUUCAGGGGCUCAACCCCUGACUUGCGGUCGAUACGGGCAAGCUAGAGUUUGGUAGGGGAGACUGGAAUUCCUGGUGUAGCGGUGGAAUGCGCAGAUAUCAGGAGGAACACCGAUGGCGAAGGCAGGUCUCUGGGCCAAUACUGACACUGAGGAGCGAAAGCGUGGGGAGCGAACAGGAUUAGAUACCCUGGUAGUCCACGCCGUAAACGGUGGGCGCUAGUUGUGCGAACCUUCCACGGUUUGUGCGACGCAGCUAACGCAUUAAGCGCCCCGCCUGGGGAGUACGAUCGCAAGNUUAAAACUCAAAGGAAUUGACGG
rnacentral:rRNA from 1 species